rnacentral:rRNA from 1 species
AGGAUGAACGCUGGCGGCGUGCCUAACACAUGCAAGUCGAACGUCCUGUCUCGCAAGAGGCAGGGAGUGGCGGACGGGUGAGUACCACGUGGGUCAUCUACCGUGAGGUGAGGAAUACCGGCGAGAAAUCGCCGACAAGACCGCAUAGCCUCGGUGCAAGUCGAGGAAAGCUCUCUCGAGAGAGGGAGCGCCACACGAGGAGCCUGCGCCCGAUUAGCUAGCUGGUGGAGUAACGGUUCACCAGGGCGACGAUCGGUAGCUGGUCUGAGAGGACGAUCAGCCACACUGGGAUUGAGAACGGCCCAGACUCCUACGGGGGGGCAGCAGUGAGGAAUUUUCGUCAAUGGGGGCAACCCUGAACGAGCAACGCCGCGUGCAGGAAGAAGGUUUUCGGAUCGUAAACUGCUUUUCGUCGGGAAGAGAAUGGACGGUACCCGAGGAAUCAGCCCCGGCUAACUACGCGCCAGCAGCCGCGGU